rnacentral:rRNA from 1 species
CCUACGGGAGGCAGCAGUGGGGAAUAUUGCACAAUGGGGGAAACCCUGAUGCAGCGACGCCGCGUGAGUGAAGAAGUAUUUCGGUACGUAAAGCUCUAUCAGAAGGGAAGAAAAUGACGGUACCUGACUAAGAAGCCCCGGCUAACUACGUGCCAGCAGCCGCUGUAAUACGUAGGGGGCAAGCGUUAUCCGGAUUUACUGGGUGUAAAGGGAGCGUAGACGGCAGCGCAAGUCUGGAGUGAAGUCCCAGGGCUUAACCAUGGAACUGCGUUGGAAACUGUGCAGCUAGAGUGCAGGAGAGGUAAGCGGAAUUCGUAGUGUAGCGGUGAAAUGCGUAGAUAUUAGGAGGAACACCAGUGGCGAAGGCAGCUUACUGGACUGUAACUGACGUUGAGGCUCGAAAGCGUGGGGAGCGAACAGGAUUAGAUACCCGAGUAGUC